UACGUAGGGUGCAAGCGUUAAUCGGAAUUACUGGGCGUAAAGCGUGCGCAGGCGGUUUUGUAAGUCUGUCGUGAAAUCCCCGGGCUCAACCUGGGAAUUGCGAUGGAGACUGCAAGGCUAGAAUCUGGCAGAGGGGGGUAGAAUUCCACGUGUAGCAGUGAAAUGCGUAGAGAUGUGGAGGAACACCGAUGGCGAAGGCAGCCCCCUGGGUCAAGAUUGACGCUCAUGCACGAAAGCGUGGGGAGCAAACAGGAUUAG
rnacentral:rRNA from 1 species